AGCCCGCUAGCUCAGUGGUAGAGCGCCUGAUUCAAUGUCACAUUGACGCUCGUUAUAAUGAGUCCUCAGGAGGUCGUCGGUUCGAACCCGAUGCGGGCUA